rnacentral:rRNA from 1 species
AUUGAACGCUGGCGGCAGGCCUAACACAUGCAAGUCGAACGGUAACAGGAAGCAGCUUGCUGCUUCGCUGACGAGUGGCGGACGGGUGAGUAAUGUCUGGGAAACUGCCUGAUGGAGGGGGAUAACUACUGGAAACGGUAGCUAAUACCACAUAACGUCGCAAGACCAAAGAGGGGGACCUUAGGGCCUCUUGCCAUCGGAUGUGCCCAGAUGGGAUUAGCUAGUAGGUGGGGUAACGGCUCACCUAGGCGACGAUCCCUAGCUGGUCUGAGAGGAUGACCAGCCACACUGGAACUGAGACACGGUCCAGACUCCUACGGGAGGCAGCAGUGGGGAAUAUUGCACAAUGGGCGCAAGCCUGAUGCAGCCAUGCCGCGUGUAUGAAGAAGGCCUUCGGGUUGUAAAGUACUUUCAGCGGGGAGGAAGGGAGUAAAGUUAAUACCUUUGCUCAUUGACGUUACCCGCAGAAGAAGCACCGGCGAACUCCGU